GACGAACGCUGGCGGCGUGGAUUAGGCAUGCAAGUCGAACGGUAUCAUCCUUUCGGGGGUGAGAGAGUGGCGAACUGGUGAGUAACACGUAGGUUAUCUACCCUCAAGACGGGGACAACCCAGGGAAACUUGGGCUAAUACCGGAUGUGAGCAACUUUUAGUUGUUUGAAAGGUGGCGUAAGCUGUCGCUUGGGGAUGAGCCUGCGUCCUAUUAGUUAGUUGGUGAGGUAACGGCUCACCUAGGCAAUGAUAGGUAGGCGGCCUUAACGGGUGUCGCCCACACUGGGAUUGAGAUACGGCCCAGACUCCUACGGGAGGCAGCAGUCGAGAAUAGUCUACAAUGGUCGGAAGACUGAUAGUGCGACGCCGCGUGAACGAUGAAUCCCUUCGGGGUGUAAAGUUCUUUUAUAUGUGAGCAGUGCUUCUUAUAUUAACAGUAUGGGGAGAGAGAUAUUAGCAUAUGAAUAAGCAACGGCUAAACUCCGUGCCAGCAGCCGCGGUAAACACG
rnacentral:rRNA from 1 species